ACGCUGGCGGCAGGCCUAACACAUGCAAGUCGAGCGGCAGCGCGGGGGCAACCCUGGCGGCGAGCGGCGGACGGGUGAGGAAUUCGUCGGAAUCUGCCUUUUUGUGGGGGAUAACGUAGGGAAACUUACGCUAAUACCGCAUACGUCCUACGGGAGAAAGUGGGGGACCGCAAGGCCUCACGCAGAAAGAUGAGCCGACGACCGAUUAGCUAGUUGGUGGGGUAAAGGCCCACCAAGGCGACGAUCGGUAGCUGGUCUGAGAGGAUGAUCAGCCACACUGGGACUGAGACACGGCCCAGACUCCUACGGGAGGCAGCAGUGGGGAAUAUUGGACAAUGGGCACAAGCCUGAUCCAGCCAUGCCGCGUGUGUGAAGAAGGCCUUCGGGUUGUAAAGCACUUUUGUCCGGAAAGAAAUCCCUGGAGCUAAUACCUUCGGGGGAUGACGGUACCGGAAGAAUAAGCACCGGCUAACUUCGUG
rnacentral:rRNA from 1 species